AGAGUUCGAUCCUGGCUCAGGAUGAACACUGGCGGCAUGCUUAACACAUGCAAGUCGAAUGGGAAGUGGUUUUUCCAGUGGCGAACGGGUGAGUAACGCAUAAGAACCUUCCCUUGGGAGGGGAACAACAACUGGAAACGGUUGCUAAUACCCCGCAGGCUGAGGAGCAAAAGGAGAAAUCCGCCCAAGGAGGGGCUCGUGUCUGAUUAGCUAGUUGGUGAGGCAAUAGCUUACCAAGGCGAUGAUCAGUAGCUGGUCCGAGAGGAUGAUCAGCCGCACUGGGACUAAGACACAGCCCAGACUCCUACGGGAGGCAGCAGUGGGGAAUUUUCCGCAAUGGGUGAAAGCCUGAUGGAGCAAUGUCGCGUGGAGGUGGAAGGCCUACGGGUCGUCAACUUCUUUUCUCGGAGAAGAAACAAUGAUGGUAUAUAAGGAUUAAGCAUCGGCUAACUCUAUGCCAGCAGCCACGGUAAGACAGAGGAUGCAAGCGUUAUCUGGAAUGAUUGGGCAUAAAGCAUCUGUAGGUGGCUUUUCAAGUCCGCCGUCAAAUCCUAGGGCUCAACCCUGGACAGGCGAUGGAAACUACCAAGCUAGAGUAUGGUAGGGGUAGAGGGAAUUUCCGGUGGAGCGGUGAAAUGCAUUGAGAUCGGAAAGAACACCAACGGCGAAAGCACUCUGCUGGGACGACACUGACACUGAGAGACAAAAGCUAGGGGAGCAAAUGGGAUUAGAGACCCCAAGUCCUAGCUGUAAACGAUGGAUACUAGGUGCUGUGCGACUCGACCCGUGCAGUGCUGUAGCUAACGCAUUAAGUAUCCCGCCUGGGGAGUACGUUCGCAAGAAUGAACUCAAAGGAAUUGAUGGGGGCCCGCACAAGCGGUGGAGCAUGUGGUUUAAUUCGAUGCAAAGCGAAGAACCUUACCAAGGCUUGACAUGCCGUGAAUCCUCUUGAAAGAGAGGGGUGCCCUCGGGAACGUGGACACAGGUGGUGCAUGGUUGUUGUCAGCUCAUGCCGUAAGGUGUUGGGUUAAGUCUCGCAACGAGCGCAACCCUUGUGUUUAGUUGCCACUAUGAGUUUGGAACCCUAAACAGACCGCCGGUGUUAAGCCAGAGGAAGGAGAGGAUGAGGCCAAGUCAUCAUGCCCCUUAUGCCCUGGGCGACACACGUGCUACAAUGGGCGGGACAAAGGGUCAUGAUCUCGCGAGGGUGAGCUAACUCCAAAAACCCAUCCUCAGUUCGGAUUGUAGGCUGCAACUCGCCUGCAUGAAGCAGGAAUCGCUAGUAAUCACCGGUCAGCCAUACGGCGGUGAAUCCGUUCUCGGGCCUUGUACACACCGCCCAUCACACUAUAGGAGCUGGCUAGGUUUGAAGUCAUUACCCUUAACCGUAAGGAGGAGGAUGCCUAAGGCUAGGCUUGCGACUGGAGUGAAGUCGUAACAAGGUAGCCAUACUGGAAGGUGUGGCUA
rnacentral:rRNA from 1 species